rnacentral:lncRNA from 1 species
CAAGGGUGGCUAAUCGGAGGUCUGGCAGGGGAAAGCUCCGGCGAUUGCAGGUGGCGGUGCUCGGCGGCGCAGGCAGCAGCAAGCGGAUUUGCAGCGAGGGGACCCGGAACAGAGGCUAGACAGCUCGAUGGCAGGGGCGGAGCAGGGCGUCGUGGGUGGAGCUGCCGGGCGGAAGGGCUGACCGUAGGCGGACCAGCGACGACGAACGAACCAGGAGCAGAGUCAGGGUCGUCGCAGAUCGGCACGGUGGGGCGUCGGAGACCGGCGGUGGAAAUCUCGGCAGCGAGGGGCGGAGCUUCAGGUCGUCGCGGGUUCGGCACGGCUGGGCGAGCAGAUCACGGACAGAGUGAGGCAGCAGCAGGUUCGCCGGGAUCCCGCGGGUUGUAGGUGAGGCGGAGCGCGACGGUGGCUGGCGGAAGGGCGAUGCGGCUUCCGACGAACAGGGGCGUCGGGUCG